rnacentral:rRNA from 1 species
UACCAGCUCUCCGAGUGGUAGGGAUGAUUAUUGGGCUUAAAGCGUCCGUAGCCGGCUUAGCAAGUUUCCUGUUAAAUUCAGCGACCUAAUCGUUGAGCCGCGGGAAAUACUACUAGGCUAGGAGGCGGGAGAGGUCGACGGUACUUCUGGGGUAGGGGUGAAAUCCUAUAAUCCCGGGAGGACCACCAGUGGCGAAGGCUGUCGACUAGAACGCGCUCGACGGUGAGGGACGAAAGCUGGGGGAGCGAACCGGAUUAGAUACCCGGGUAGUCCCAGCUGUAAACGAUGCGAGCUAGGUGUUGGGGUGGCUACGUGCCACUUCAGUGCCGCAGGGAAGCCAUUAAGCUCGCCGCCUGGGGAGUACGGCCGCAAGGCUGAAACUUAAAGGAAUUGGCGGGGAGCACCACAAGGCGUGAAGCUUGCGGUUC